AUGGAUGAGGAUGAGGACGACGGUGGCGCUGAACAGUAUGUCUAUACUGGCGCCUCCUCAGGGUUUGAGCGUCAUGAAUCGGUGCCUGAAUUGCCGUCUCAACGUAUUAUGGACGACCUUCCGGUGGAUAUUUGGGUGAGGAAGCUCUACUGCAUCAACAGGGCCGACCCGAGGCUACCGAUCAGCAUGGAGGAUGUCGGCUGGAGUGCGGAGGAGUUUGCAAGAGCUGAAGCAGUAUGUCAACCGCCUACACAAUCUGCAUUUGCUUGCCUCCUCUUUGAAUGCAUGAAGGAGGAGGACACAGUUUUGUUGUUGCUCCAAUUCUCCGAUGAUGAUGAUAUAUGGGUUCAGCUGAUGGGAUCUUGUUGUUUUGUAGAAAGGAGUGCCACUUCCCUGCGUUGCUUAGAUAAGAUAUUCUACUUCGACAUUGAAUUAAACGUAUCUGAUCUGGUGACCCCUUUGAGUCAUUGGGCCAAAGCGUGGCAUUUGCUGGGCUGCUGCGUGGGGAUUUCAGUGAUACUUUUGGGUGGUUGUUUAGGUGGAGUCACAAUCCCUCAAUUGCACAAGCAGCUGGCUAUCUGUGGUGGGUUCUGUCGUGUCUUUGAGGUUGGGCAUGAGUUUAGAGCUGAAGAUUCCAACACACAUAGGCAUUUGUGUGGCUUUGUUGGUUUGGACGCUAAAAUGGAGAUUAUGAGGCACUACUUUGAGGUGAGCAGGGGGCACUGGGCCGAAUCCAGGGACACGGUUUCACCGGUCAAAGAUUCUGACAGGUGGGGCGAGCAGUUGCUAAUGUGGCUUCUUCCAUGUGGGUCCGCCAUGAAUUGUAUCGCUGAUGGUCCCGAAAAAAAGGUCGACGCUAGUCGAGGGUGGACUUGCAAAUGGGAUAAGAAAAGGUUGAGCCCGGGUUGCAAGUCGACCAUGGACUUGCAACUGGGACAAAAACAGGUUAAACCCCGGUUGCGAAUCAAGGAUGGACUUGCAAAAGCAAGCAAAGAGCGGGCCGGCCGGUUGUGGCAAGGCAGCAGGCAAAGAGAGAAGGCCGGGCCGGGCCGGGCCUUAGGCUAUAUACACGGGAGCCCACGCCCCAGCCGGUCGGUGGACGGACAUUUUUUUUCUCCCCAACCAGCGAGGAAGAGGAAGAGGAAGCGGAUCGAGUCGGCGAGAGCGAGGGCGAGGACGAUGGCGGCGCUCCGGCUAGCGGUGAGGAGAUUUUGCGACCGUGCGCUCGGGAGAUCAGCGGUACUUGUCCUCUCCUACCUCCGACCCCUCUCCCUCUCCCUCUCCCUCUCUAGCGGCGUGGCAGCCAGAUCAGAUCUAGGUGGCUACAAACAGGAGAUAAAAGGCAUUUACGAGCUCAAGGCUGCCAAGGAAUUCCCCGACAUUGAUCCUGGGCAUCUCAAGGCUGCCAGGAAAUUCCCCAAACUUCGUGUCAAGGAUGUUGAUGCUACGGCUCUGAAUGUCUUCAAGAUUCUCAGGGAGAGUCCAGUCGAUGGUCAUAAAGAUGUAACCCUUCGUGAAGUUGAAUCAUCCUUUGAUCUUGACAUGCCCACCAGAUUCGAGUCUACAACUGUCGUCAAAGAUGAACAGAAUUUAAACACGGCCGGCCAAAGGCGUAUGGAUCGGCGCGAUUUGCCAUUACAGCAUGGAGGACGCCAGACGGACGAGGAUUCCCUGCCAUACGGCACCCAGCCGUGCUCACUGACAUGUGGGCCGUACAUCAGAGGAGCUGGUGCCAGACAUGGUUCGUUGAUCAAAAUUUUGCCCACUGACAUGUGGGCCCUCCGGGAUCCUGGCCGACAUGUCAGUGGGCCAACGGCAGCGGCCGUACAUGCGGAUUUUCGAUUUUGGUGUCCAAACUUAAAUAGGUUGAUUCCUGCUGGCGACCUGGAUUCGUUGCCGCCGCUACUGUCAGUCGCAUGCCGGGUAGGAGGAGAUAGUGAGGCAGUUGCAGCUUGCCAGGAACACGGUGGUGCUCCUUUGUUUGAAGAGGACCAGUUUGAUGAUUCAGGCUCUGUCGUCCAAGACCAGCCGGGGGUGGAGGAAGUUUGCCGGGACGACAUUGAGGGUGUCACUGACAGCAAGGGCGAAAGCGGCCUGGACAAGAAGUAUAUUAACUUCAUCCCUACGCGGCCGAGUAAAAUCGGCACCUCUUAUCCCCCCUGUGCCACUGCCCGCACGCCCACCACCCUCCCCCGCCCCUCCGAUGGCCGGACAUGGUGGUCGUCGGUCCCCGUCGCCGAUCCGCGGCACCGCGCCUCAACGCGCGUGGGUCAUCCUCCGUGGGCUCUUCAUCGAGCCGUCGUCACCGGCCGCCCGAUCCGCCCGCCGCCACGCCCCUACACCGGUUCGCCGUCGCCGGGUGCCCGAUCCUCCCGCCACCGCGCCCCUACACCGGUUCGCCAUCUCUGGUCGCCCGAUCCGCCCGCCUCGUGCCCGUACACUGGUUCGAGGACUUCCCCAUCCUCCCUCUGCCUCGUGCCCCUAUAUAUUCAUACACAUGUCUAA
rnacentral:rRNA from 1 species